CAGGACCUGGUGCUUUCGAGGCAGGCACAGUGCCACUGAGCUACAUCCCAGCCUCCUCUUCAUUUCAAACUACAAAAAUCCACUUAGACCAGGGAUUGAGGACUUGACUGGCCAUUUCCUAGGGCAGACAGAGAAGGACUUUGAAAACCAAUAUGCAAACAUACCUUAAAGGACUCCGCAGACUUCACUCAGUACGUCUGCAGGCGACAUGCUGAGCUUCCUCGGGCUGCUUCCUUCUUCUUUCCCCGGGCACCACACUUCACAGUCUCCCAAGAGUCCUGUGCCCACUCUCAGGUUUUGGGGGGACCAAGGCUCCAUGGGGAUGAGCAUAAGCGCCAUUAUCUUCUCUGUUUUAUAAAUGAGGAGAUGGGGACUGCAGCAAGUUCGUGCAUGCUGACCGAGGUCCCGGGUAGACAGUGCAUGUGUCACUCGGAGUUGCACUGGAGCUCAGGGCUGGCACCAAAACUCAUGCUCAUAACCACUACGGAAUACAGUGACAGUAAGGACCCUAACCGGGCAGUCUCUCCACCCCACACCUCUCCCCUGAGCUCUGGUUUUGUUUUUUGUUUUUUUUUUGUAUCAGGGAUCGAACUCAGGUCCUUGUGCUUUUGCAGCAGGCGGAGAAACCACUGAGCUAAAUCCCCAGUCCUGAGCCCUGGUUUUGUUUCUGCCCAUUCCAUAUUUCUACCUGGAUAUCUAAUGGGCACUGGUGGUGGUUUUAAAAAAAUGUUCCCAAAUUAUUUGGUCCAACUUCCCCCAGUGAGCAGGGCUUAAUUUUCCUAUUCUUGGAUGUGGGUGGAAUUAGUGAUUUCUGUUAGCUAAGAGAAUGUUACAGCAAUGGCGGUGUAUGAUUUCUAAGACUAGUCACUGAAGGCAUUUUGACUCCUCCCUUUUCCUUGGGGGCCCUCUCUGGGAGAAAGCAGCUACCUGAGGAAAGGACACUCCCUGAGUCAUCUCUACCCGGGGCCUCCUGUCUGCAGCACUUCGGGCACCAUUUUGGAACCGGAUACUCUAGCCCCAGUGGGGGUUCCGGAUGAGCAGCCCCGGGGACAGCUUGGCUUCUGUCUCCUGAGAGACCCAAGCUGGAAUCCCCAGCUCACCUGCUCCCGACUUCUCAAACUCACAGAAACCAGGAGAUAAUAAGUAUUUGUUGUUUUAAGCUGGAGAGUUUGGGGGGAGAUUUAUUAUACAGCAUUAAUUAAUACAGCAUCUCCAGUUCGACUGUCAGAAGCUGCCCUCCCGAUUUUCAUUCCACAAACAUAAUCUUCCUCCUCUCUUCCCUAUUCAGAACCCAGCAAUGUCAUUCUUCUUCUUCAAAACUCAAGCCAAGACCUCAAAGUCAUCCCCAGAGCCUGCUUUACUUUCACAACACAAAUCUAGUAUAAGGACAAUUUUGAAAGGUAUCUAAAAUCGAAUCCCAUCUUCCCGAUUCGUCCCAUCACCCUUGCCUAGGUUGGUGGCAACAGCCCUGUGCCUGAUCCCCUUCCAGCCUCCGAGGAGCCAGUUCCAGGGAUUGGAGCCAGCAGGAUCCUCUAAAAGUAUGAACCACGCAACACCAGCUCAUUACAGCCACUCCUCCUUGAUCUAACAAAGCUCCUCCGUGGACUUCCCUCAGGUCUUUCUUGAAACAGCAUCUCCUGGGAGAGGACUUGUCCGACCUCUAAGCCUUCCCCACAGUGUAUCUUUCACUUACAUUUCUUUCUCGUCUCUAGAAUGACAGUCCCCGAAAGGGGGCACAGUUGUUGUCUUCUCUAUAUACUGCUGUGUUCCCAGCACCUAGAAUGAUUCUUGACACACGAGUUGCUUUGGUGGACAUCAGGACAGCCUGGGAAGACAGCGAUGAAUCGGAAUGCUCAGGGCACCCAGCAGCAUCUGAGAGAGGGGAGGUGUUACUAAGAGGGACCCCUGUGAAUCCCUACUGCAUUUGACCCCUGCUCUUUCAACAAAAUUUUUUACUUCUGCUUUAACAGAGGCAAGGAAAAUAGUAAAAUAUAUUAAAGUUGGCUUGUAUUAAAAAAACCCUCCUUUGUAAUUAGGGCAGUAAAUUAUAGACACAGGAUUCCAUAUAGGCCAUAAAUUGAAUAUUUUAGAGAGAGUAGAGUUGGG
ensembl:lncRNA